rnacentral:lncRNA from 1 species
CAUAUCAUAUUUUAUAUAUAAUAGUAUCAUGUAAUAUUCAAUUCCACUUUUUAUUUAUAUACCCUCAAAAAACUUUACCACAAGAAAAUAUAGGAAUUUCAUGUAUGCAUGCAUUUAUAUGUGUGUGUGUGUGUGUGUAUAUAUACAUAUUUAUGACUUACAAAUAAACAUAGCAAAUUAUUUUAAUUGUACAUUUGAAUAAUUUUUUACUUACCAAUAUUUGAACAGUAAGAUUCAUGAAGCUGUGGGUGUAGUUAAGUGGUAGAUCAGUUGCCUAGCCUGUGCAAGGCCCUGAAUUUCUCUUUUAGCACAACAAAAAUAAAUAAAUAAUAAGAUUCAGAGAUGAGUGAUAUAAUUCAUCAUUAUUUGAUGUUAACCACAGUAAAAUAUUUAUAAGAAACUCAUUAAUUUCCAAGAAGGCCAUAAUGAUAGCAGUGAUAUUUAAUCAUAUACUUGAAGAAUCUAAUGAAAACAAUCUUAAGGAAA